rnacentral:lncRNA from 12 species
GCCCAUACAAAGCCUCUGAGGAAAGAAUUUGCAGAGACACCAGCAGUAUGUCGAGUAUGUGCAGUUGUGUAUUGAGAAGAAACUUUACCUUGUUAAGGUUGUUCUGUUAGAAGCACAUUACUUUUCUGCUUGAUUGAAAAAAUGCUU